UGGCGGCGUCUACGUUUGGGCGAAGUCGAGCCAGCGGGCGUCGCCUGGCUCCCCUCCUCCGGGCGGCCAUGGAGGAGCCAUGCACUGCUAAUAUGUCGGAUGAUGAAGACGAUGGGUGAUCGUGAUGGUGACACCCAGAGCUAGAAGGCCACGAGGAGUUCAAUAUGAGAUGUGUGGGACUUGAUAAAGCUUGGAGAUUAUGUUAGUGCAAGGGACGAUGUCGAUACCUCUAGGAUAGGGAUUGCUGGUUAAUCACUCGGAGGAAUGCAUGCAUGCUUUGCUGCUUUUGUGGAUACACGGUACAAUGUUGUUCUUCCAAUAAUUGGUGUUCAGGGAUUUCAAUGGGCAGUAGAUAAUGACAUGUGGCAAGCUAGAGUUGAUAGCAUUAAGCAUUUAUUUGAAGAAGCAAGAAUUGAUUCAGGGAAGAGUGAAAUAGAUGCAGAGGUUGUGAAAAAGGUUUGGGACAAGAUAGCACCUUCUAUGGCUUAACAGUUUGAUGCUCCCUACUCAGUUCCUCUGAUUGCACCAUGUCCACUCCUCCUAAAUGGUGCUGACGACCCUCAUUGCCCAGUCCUUGGUCUACAAGAACCUGCCUCCAAAGCUGCCGAGGCUUAUGCAGAAGCUGGUUCUGCGGAUAAGUUCAAGGAUCCAAAGAACUAGCUCGAGUGGACUCUAGAGCACGAACAAUUUAGUCUUGGCAGUUGAUUAGGAUGGCUAAAUUACAUUUGAGUUUCAUUUGAUGGAUAUUUGCUAUCAGAAUUAUGAAUUUUAUGAAUCUACAUGUUAUGUGUAUGAUUUUGAAUAUUGUAAUUGAAUGCUUGUAU